rnacentral:tRNA from 1 species
GGGGAUAUAGCUCAGUUGGUAGAGUGCUUGCCUUGCAUACACAAGGCCCUGAGUUCAAUCCCCAGUACCUCAA